AUCCUUUUGUAAAUCAUAGGCAUGAUGAUUGGGUUUUCAUGCGCAUGCAUGAGAUGUGCCUCCCAUAAAUCUUGUUACCACGUAAGCACAUUACCCGUCUGACA